GCUGGCGGCAGGCCUAACACAUGCAAGUCGGCGGUAACAGGGAGUGCUUGCACUCUGCUGACGAGCGGCGGACGGGUGAGUAAUGCAUAGGAAUCUGCCUGGUAGUGGGGGAUAGCCCAGAGAAAUUUGGAUUAAUACCGCAUACGCCCUACGGGGGGGAAAGCUGGGGGACCUUCGGGCCUAGCGCUAUCAGAUGAGCCUAUGUCGGAUUAGCUUGUUGGUGAGGUAACGGCUCACCAAGGCGACGAUCCGUAGCUGGUCUGAGAGGAUGAUCAGCCACACUGGGACUGAGACACGGCCCAGACUCCUACGGGAGGCAGCAGUGGGGAAUAUUGGACAAUGGGCGCAAGCCUGAUCCAGCCAUGCCGCGUGUGUGAAGAAGGCCUUCGGGUUGUAAAGCACUUUCAGCGAGGAGGAAAGGGGUGUUGCUAAUAUCAACGCCCUGUGACGUUACUCGCAGAAGAAGCACCGGCUAACUCCGUG
rnacentral:rRNA from 1 species